GAACGUAGCGAAAUGCGAUACUUGGUGUGAAUUGCAGAAUCCCGUGAACCAUCGAGUCUUUGAACGCAAGUUGCGCCCGAUGCCUUCAGGCUGAGGGCACGUCUGCUUGGGCGUCACGCAUCUCGUCAACACCUCCCACGUCGUGUUCUUCCCYACUCAAAG
rnacentral:rRNA from 1 species